rnacentral:rRNA from 1 species
GACGAACGCUGGCGGCGUGCUUAACACAUGCAAGUCGAACGGAAAGGCCCUUCUCUUGUGGGGUGCUCGAGUGGCGAACGGGUGAGUAACACGUGAGUAACCUGCCCUUGACUUUGGGAUAACUUCAGGAAACUGGGGCUAAUACCGGAUAGGAGCUUCUGCUGCCUGGUGGGGGUUGGAAAGUUUGGGCGGUUGGGGAUGGAGCCGCGGGUUGUCUGCCUGGUGGUGGGGUAGUGGCUUACCAAGGCUUUGACGGAUAGGGGGCCUGAGAGGGUGACCGGCCACAUGGGGACGGAUAUUCGGCCCAGACUCCGAAGGGAGGCAGCGGUGAGGGUUGUUACACUGUGGGCGGAAGCCUGAUGGAAGAACGCCGCGUUCGGGAGGACGGACUUCGGUUUGUAUGCCGCUUAAACCUGUGACGAAGCGUGAGUGAAGGUAAUGGGUGAAGAAGCAACGGCUAACUACGUG